CCGCAUCAAGCACAGACAUAUCGGUGCCUGCCCUGAGGGUAAAGACAGUCUUCAAAUGGGUGGACAGCAACGCUGUAGGCCAGCACUGGUCACUCUGGGACCUCGCUACACAAUUUUGAGAGGCUCUCGAGAAGAGAUGAAGAGGAGGAACUUUGUGGACAUUUUAAACGAUUUCUUUCCUUCUGGGACCAGAUGAGUAAAACAAAACAGAACAAAAAAAAUCUCGACUUGAAAUCAAAGCCCAGCUUAGUGACUGAGGUUCGGGUUUUAACACAGUCAAGAGAUAUGGGG
rnacentral:lncRNA from 1 species